rnacentral:rRNA from 1 species
UCUCUGCUGACGAGUGGCGGACGGGUGAGUAAAGCUUGGGAAUCUGGCGAAUGGAGGGGGAUAGCCACGGGAAACUGUGGGUAAUACCGCGUAAUGUCUAAGGACUAAAGGGGUGGGACUGUAAGAGGCCACCUGCCAUUUGAUGAGCCCAAGUGGGAUUAGGUAGUUGGUGAGGUAAGGGCUCACCAAGCUGACGAUCUCUAGCUGGUCUGAGAGGAUGGCCAGCCACACUGGAACUGAGACACGGUCCAGACUCCUACGGGAGGCAGCAGUGGGGAAUAUUGCGCAAUGGGGGGAACCCUGACGCAGCCAUGCCGCGUGAAUGAAGAAGGCCUUCGGGUUGUAAAGUUCUUUCGGUGAUGAGGAAGGCGAUUAGUUUAAGAGAUUAAUUGAUUGACGAUAAUCACAGAAGAAGCACCGGCUAACUCCGUGCCAGCAGCCGCGGUAAUACGGAGGGUGCGAGCGUUAAUCGGAAUGACUGGGCGUAAAGGGCACGCAGGUGGUGACUUAAGUGAGGUGUGAAAUCCCCGGGCUUAACCUGGGAACAGCAUUUCAGACUGGGUGACUAGAGUACUUUAGGGAGGGGUAGAAUUCCACGUGUAGCGGUGAAAUGCGUAGAGAUGUGGAGGAAUACCGAAGGCGAAGGCAGCCCCUUGGGAAGAUACUGACGCUCGAGUGCGAAAGCGUGGGGAGCAAACAGGAUUAGAUACCCUGGUAGUCCACGCUGUAAACGAUGUCGAUUUGGGGAUUGGGUGAAUACUUGGUGCCCGAAGCUAACGUUGAUAAAUCGACCGCCUGGGGAGUACGGCCGCAAGGUUAAAACUCAAAUGAAUUGACGGGGGCCCGCACAACCGGUGGAGCAUGUGGUUUAAUUCGAUGCAACGCGAAGAACCUUACCUACUCUUGACAUCCUAAGAAGCCGCCAGAGAUGGUGGUGUGCCUACGGGAGCUUAGAGACAGGUGCUGCAUGGCUGUCGUCAGCUCGUGUUGUGAAAUGUUGGGUUAAGUCCCGCAACGAGCGCAACCCUUAUCCUUUGUUGCCAGCAUGUUAGGGUGGGAACUCAAAGGAGACUGCCGGUGAUAAACUGGAGGAAGGUGGGGAUGACGUCAAGUCAUCAUGGCCCUUACGAGUAGGGCUACACACGUGCUACAAUGGCGUAUACAGAGGGAGGCGAGCCUGCGAGGGUAAGCGAAGCUCAGAAAGUACGUCUAAGUCCGGAUUGGAGUNUGGAACUNGACUCCAUGAAGUCGGAAUCG